UACGGGGGGGGCAAGCGUUGUUCGGAAUUACUGGGCGUAAAGGGCUCGUAGGCGGCCAACUAAGUCAGACGUGAAAUCCCUCGGCUUAACCGGGGAACUGCGUCUGAUACUGGAUGGCUUGAGGUUGGGAGAGGGAUGCGGAAUUCCAGGUGUAGCGGUGAAAUGCGUAGAUAUUCGGAAGAACACCAGUGGCGAAGGCAGCUCACUGGACCGGUAUUGACGCUGAGGUGCGAAAGCGUGGGGAGCAAACAGG
rnacentral:rRNA from 1 species